rnacentral:rRNA from 1 species
GACGAACGCUGGCGGCGUGCCUAAUACAUGCAAGUCGAACGCUGAAGGAGGAGCUUGCUUCUCUGGAUGAGUUGCGAACGGGUGAGUAACGCGUAGGUAACCUGCCUGGUAGCGGGGGAUAACUAUUGGAAACGAUAGCUAAUACCGCAUAAUAGUAGAUGUUGCAUGACAUUUGCUUAAAAGGUGCAAUUGCAUCACUACCAGAUGGCCCUGCGUUGUAUUAGCUAGUUGGUGGGGUAACGGCUCACCAAGGCGACGAUACAUAGCCGACCUGAGAGGGUGAUCGGCCACACUGGGACUGAGACACGGCCCAGACUCCUACGGGAGGCAGCAGUAGGGAAUCUUCGGCAAUGGACGGAAGUCUGACCGAGCAACGCCGCGUGAGUGAAGAAGGGUUUCGGAUCGUAAAGCUCGGUUGUAAGAGAAGAACGAGUGUGAGAGUGGAAAGUUCACACUGUGACGGUAGCUUAACAGAAAGGGACGGCUAACUACGUG